CACGGCCUAUCAGCUUGUUGGUGAGGUAACGGCUCACCAAGGCAUCGACGGGUAGCUGGUCUGAGAGGAUGAUCAGCCACACUGGGACUGAGACACGGCCCAGACUCCUACGGGAGGCAGCAGUGGGGAAUAUUGCACAAUGGGCGAAAGCCUGAUGCAGCAACGCCGCGUGCGGGAAGAAGGCCCUAGGGUUGUAAACCGCUUUCAGCAGGGAAGAAAAUGACGGUACCUGCAGAAGAAGGUGCGGCCAACUACGUGCCAGCAGCCGCGGUGACACGUAGGCACCAAGCGUUGUCCGGAUUUAUUGGGCGUAAAGAGCUCGUAGGCGGUUCAGUAAGUCGGGUGUGAAAACUCUGGGCUCAACCCAGAGACGCCACCCGAUACUGCUGUGACUUGAGUACGGUAGGGGAGCGGGGAAUUCCUGGUGUAGCGGUGAAAUGCGCAGAUAUCAGGAGGAACACCAGUGGCGAAGGCGCCGCUCUGGGCCGAAACUGACGCUGAGGAGCGAAAGCAUGGGUAGCAAACAGGAUUAGAUACCCUGGUAGUCCAUGCCGUAAACGUUGGGCACUAGGUGUGGGUCUCAACCAACGAGAUCCGCGCCGUCGCUAACGCAUUAAGUGCCCCGCCUGGGAGUACGG
rnacentral:rRNA from 1 species